rnacentral:rRNA from 1 species
AUUGAACGCUGGCGGCAGGCCUAACACAUGCAAGUCGAACGAGUGGCGGACGGGUGAGUAAUGUCUGGGACACUGCCUGAUGGAGGGGGAUAACUACUGGACACGGUAGCUAAUACCGCCUACCAUCUGAUGUGCCCAGAUGGGAUUCGCUAGUUGGUGGGGUAACGGCUCACCAAGGCGACGAUCCCUAGCUGGGCUGAGAGGAUGACCAGCCACACUGGAACGGAGACACGGUCCAGACUCCUACGGGAGGCAGCAGUGGGGAAUAUUGGACAAGGGGCGAAAGACUGAUCCAGCCAGGCCGCGUGUGUGAAGAAGGUCUUCGGAUUGUAAAGCACGUUAAGUUGGGAGGCGUUACCAACAGAAUAAGCACCGGCUAACUUCGUGCCAGCAGCCGCGGUAAUAC